rnacentral:rRNA from 1 species
GACAUGGCAGUGUGGUCUAGCCUAACGGUUAGUACUGUAUUUGUUGUGUCUUUCCUUCUGGCUAGCCAGCAUGUCCUUUACUGGAUGUGCUGGGGAACCAGGACUUUUACUGUGAAAAAAUUAGAGUGUUUAAAGCAGGCGACCGCUUGAAUACAUUAGCAUGGAAUAAUAGAAUAGGACUUUGGUUUUAUUUUGUUGGUUUCUAAGACCGAAGUA